AACCAUAGAAACCUGCGGAGUACCUGCGGAAGGAUCAUUACCGAGUUUCCAAAACUCCCAACCCAUGUGAACUUACCUCUCGUUGCCUCGGCGGGAUCGCCCCGGGUGCCCCAGGCCCCGGACCCAGGCGCCCGCCGCAGGACCCCAAACUCUUGUUUAGUGGAAGCUUCUUCUGAGUGAGAAAACAAAUAAAUCAAAACUUUUAACAACGGAUCU
rnacentral:misc_RNA from 1 species